UCGUAACAAGGUCUCCGUUGGUGAACCAGCGGAGGGAUCAUUACAGAGUUAUACAACUCCCAUACCAUCUGUUAACCUACCCAGUUAUGCCUCGGCGUAAGCUCGGUUGGAGGCACCUGCAGCUACCCUGUAGUUGCGGACUGCCAACUCCAGCCGCGGCCCGCCGGCGGUACACUAAACUCUGUUUUAUUUUAUAUUCUGAGCGUCUUAUUUUAAUAAGUUAAAACUUUCAACAACGGAUCUCUUGGUUCUGGCAUCGAUGAAGAACGCAGCGAAAUGCGAUAAGUAAUGUGAAUUGCAGAAUUCAGUGAAUCAUCGAAUCUUUGAACGCACAUUGCGCCCAUCAGUAUUCUGGUGGGCAUGCCUGUUCGAGCGUCAUUUCAACCCUUAAGCCUAGCUUAGUGUUGGGAAUCUGCUGUACUGCAGUUCCUUAAAGACAGUGGCGGAGCGGCGGUAGUCCUCUGAGCGUAGUAAUUUAUUUCUCGCUUUUGUCAGGCUCUGUCCUCCCGCCAUAAAACCCCCAAUUUUUUAGUGGUUGACCUCGGAUCAGGUAGGAAUACCCGCUGAACUUAAGCAUAUCA
rnacentral:misc_RNA from 1 species